rnacentral:sRNA from 1 species
GGCCGGUGGGAAGGCGGCGAGUUAUCGCACGGAUGCUCACAGUCGGGCGCAGCCUGAACUCGCUCUGCACGGUGCCCUCUUCUCACCACUGCCCUUCUCUGGUCUCCA